rnacentral:rRNA from 1 species
GACGAACGCUGGCGGCGUGCUUAACACAUGCAAGUCGAACGGAAAGGCCCUGCUUUUGUGGGUGCUCGAGUGGCGAACGGGUGAGUAACACGUGAGUAACCUGCCCUUGACUUUGGGAUAACUUCAGGAAACUGGGGCUAAUACCGGAUAGGAGCUCCUGCUGCAUGGUGGGGGUUGGAAAGUUUCGGCGGUUGGGGAUGGACUCGCGGCUUAUCAGCUUGUUGGUGGGGUAGUGGCUUACCAAGGCUUUGACGGGUAGCCGGCCUGAGAGGGUGACCGGCCACAUUGGGACUGAGAUGCGGCCCAGACUACUACGGGAGGCAGCAGUGGGGAAUAUUGCACCAUGGGCUGAAGCCUGAUGCAGCAACGCCGCGUGCGGGAUGACGGCCGUCGGGUGGUAAACCGCUUUCGCCUGUGACGAAGCGUGAGUGACGGUAAUGGGUAAAGAAGCACCGGCUAACUACGUG